AGCGAACGUUUGCGGCGGGCUUAACACAUGCAAGUCGAACGAGAAUCCCUUCGGGGAGGAAAGUGGCGCACGGGUGCGUAACACGUGGAUAACCAACCCAUUGGUUUGGGACAACACCGGGAAACUGGUGCUAAUACCAGAUGUGUCGCAGCUGUCUUCAGGCGGUUGCGAGAAAGGCCCGCAAGGGUCGCCAACGGACGGGUCUGCGUCCCAUCAGCUAGUUGGUGAGGUAAUGGCUCACCAAGGCAAAGACGGGUAGCUGGUCUGAGAGGAUGAUCAGCCACACUGGAACUGAGACACGGUCCAGACUCCUACGGGAGGCAGCAGUGGGGAAUAUUGCGCAAUGGGCGAAAGCCUGACGCAGCCACGCCGCGUGAGCGAUGAAGGUCUUCGGAUCGUAAAGCUCUGUGGGGGGAGAAGAAGAAAGCCGGUGAAGAGCCGGCCCUGACGGUAUCCCCUUAGCAAGCACCGGCUAACUCCGUGCCAGCAGCCGACGG
rnacentral:rRNA from 1 species